GCCUCUGUAGCUUAAUGGACAAAGCGACGGUCUUCGGAACCGUUGAUGGGAGUUCGAUUCUCUCCAGAGGCACCU
rnacentral:tRNA from 1 species